UGGGCCAGGAUGAAGGCCCAGAGGUGAAUGAACAGGAGUGGGAGAGAGAAAUGGAGCAGGCCCACCCAGAGGUUUCAUUAAAUUCUGUGGUUGGCUAACUAACUCAAAGACAAUUAAGAUUAGAGAAGUGCUGGGCCAAGAGGUGAUAAUUAUGGUGGACCCAGGUGCCACCCACAAUUUCAUCUCCCACUCCACUGUUAAAGCUUUGGGCCUGCCCAUCUCCCAAACAAAAAAAUUUGAAGUUUCGUUGG
rnacentral:misc_RNA from 1 species